rnacentral:rRNA from 1 species
GGACGAACGCUGGCGGCAUGCCUAACACAUGCAAGUCGAACGGAGAAUCACUUCGGUGAUUCUUAGUGGCGCAAGGGUGAGUAACACGUGGGUAAUCUACCUUCGAGUCUGGAAUAACAGUUAGAAAUGAUUGCUAAUGCCGGAUUAUAUAUAGUUGGAUACGUCCUUCUAUAUUAAAAGGAGCCUUUAAAGCUUCGCUUGAAGAUGAGCCUGCGCCGUAUUAGCUAGUUGGUGGGGUAAAGGCCUACCAAGGCGACGAUGCGUAGCCGACCUGAGAGGGUGAUCGGCCACACUGGGACUGAGACACGGCCCAGACUCCUACGGGAGACAGCAGUUAGGAAUAUUCGUCAAUGGGGGAAACCCUGAACGAGCAAUGCCGCGUGAAGGAUGACGGUCCUAUGGAUUGUAAACUUCUGUUGUUAGGGAAGAACGACCUGUGUAGGAAAUGACACAGGAGUGACGGUACCUUUCAAGAAAGCUCCGGCUAACUACGUG